AACGAACGCUGGCGGCAGGCUUAACACAUGCAAGUCGAACGGUCUCUUCGGAGGCAGUGGCAGACGGGUGAGUAACGCGUGGGAAUCUACCCAGUUCUACGGAACAACAGUUGGAAACGACUGCUAAUACCGUAUACGCCCUACGGGGGAAAGAUUUAUCGGAAUUGGAUGAGCCCGCGUAAGAUUAGCUAGUUGGUGGGGUAAUGGCCUACCAAGGCGACGAUCUUUAGCUGGUCUGAGAGGAUGAUCAGCCACACUGGGACUAAGACACGGCCCAGACUCCUACGGGAGGCAGCAGUGGGGAAUAUUGGACAAUGGGCGCAAGCCUGAUCCAGCCAUGCCGCGUGAGUGAUGAAGGCCUUAGGGUUGUAAAGCUCUUUCAGUGGGGACGAUAAUGACGGUACCCACAGAAGAAGCCCCGGCUAACUUCGUGCCAGCAGCCGCAGUAA
rnacentral:rRNA from 1 species